CUUGAACCAAAGCAGCUUCUUCUGUAAUGUUUUCCUUACUGGGAGGACACGUAAGACACUGUGUGAUCAUGGGGCUCCAUGACUUCAAAAAGUUCAAAACCCUUGACUACAUGAAGCCUCGAAGGACACCUCCCAGUCUAUUUUCACUCAUUUCUCCCACAUAUACCUAUGGAGUGUUUACCAGGCUGUUCCAGGCACAUCAGUAAACAAAACUGACAGAUAUCCAAGACAGAGAACAUCCCACAUUCUCGGGGAGCCCCCGGGCUUUGAAACAAAGUCAUAGAAGUCUCCCCUGUUAAAAUUCAAAGCUUAUCACAUGAUGUUUUCCCAAUUGUCAUCAUAUUUCCGUACAGCAAGAAGUCAAGAAAGACUCCGAAUGAACGUGUGAGAGAAGCAGACACAGAGUGAUGGGCACUUUUCCUUGCAAUCCCGCGGUGAAUUUGUAGGGAAAGCAGAACUUGAACUCAUAAACUGUCUCUUCGUGUGAGUCAUAAUGUCCCACAGGGACGACCCCAGUUUCCUCCCUGCCCUCUUCUCUGUCAGUGGUUUCACUCAGGACACUCAACCAGCCCUACACCCCCUGCCCCCAACUCUUGACUCUGAGCUGUCUCCUUUUCUUUUCUUGCUUGCUCUCUUUCUUUUUUUAAUUGAGAUUCAUAAUAGUUUACAUCACUGUGAAAUUUCUGAGCGGUCUCCUUUUCACUUCAUGGUACGAAAAACCACAACACCUACUGGAAGCAACCAGUAUACAGAGGGGUUAAUUCAAGGUCACACCCAACUCUCGGACAUCUCCACCUUCCUUCCUGAGAGUGUGAGUUUCACAUGACAAGCCAUCCAGAAGAGGAAACUUCCAUCCCACCUUCUUCUUGGUGGUAAUAUGGUGAAAUGAUGCCAAAUCCAGGAAGGGGUAGUGUUGAGGAGAUAGAGAAAAGGAGGGGCCGAUCUCAUGUGUUAGUAUAAAAGUUCAUUUCUAGGAGCGCCAAAGACCCCAGAGCACCCUCCUUCCGUUCACUGGUUCCUGUUCUGAAAUUGCGCCUGUCUCAUUCCCAUAGCUCAAGGCUCUGGUCCUUGUUAAAAUGAAGAUGCUCCUAAUAAAGGUGAUAGUUUAAACUGUUAGCAGCUAUUUAUACCUCAGUGUGAAUGAUGGAUCCAGAGUAAGUUUUGUUUCAUGAGGCGUAGAACACUGGGGGCUGAGAUGUGGAGGAAAAGGUGAUAUAGAAACAGACAGAAUGUAGACCAAAGGUGAACUUAACAGUAUUUCUAGGUUGUGAGUCCACAAAGAGGUACCUGCUAUGGCUUCGUUAAAGUGAGAAGCCCGCAUCGGAUCUGACUGAUAUUCCAGGACCUGUGGGCUGCACUCAAAAAAGACGUAAGUGUGGCAUCUCUGUCUCCCCAGAGGCAGUGGGCUUCCUCCUCAGCGGCUGAGACUUCCCUUCCCCUCUGGGUCUGGCAUAGAGAUAAGCAUACCAUUAUCACAGACUGUUGGGGACCCAAGGAGCAGCCUUAUUUACGACCAGAAAAGCACCAACGUCCCCUGAAAUGCAGGGCUUCCGGUGCCGCGGGCUGGAGAGCUCUGCUUGGGCGAGGCCUUACCUAGCAGCCUGGCUGCACACACGGCUGGAGGAAAGAGAGAGAGAUGCGGAGAUUUCCACAUGGAGAUGGAAAGUGAGGCGUUCACUGUGCCCAGGCGCAGGGGUCAAGGAAAGAGGGGUUGAAGCUCUGUCACACCCAACCCUCCCUGCUCCUGGGAGGGGCGGACAAACCCUCUCCUAAGGAAACGUUCCCUGCACCCCCCCCCCACACACUCUGCCUCCGCUGAGUUAGGGUGGGCUUCCUUCCCGGAAGGGGGCUCCACAGGGCACACAAAGGAGAGGAAAGCAAUAGGACUGACCCACGAAGACCCUGCUCGCUUUCUGGCGUCGGUCUCUCUAGGAUCCAUCAGAAAUGACGAGCUGGAAGAUGCUCCGAUUAAUUGCUUUCCGGCUCUGAGAUGGCACCUCCAUCGCCAGUCAAAGUUUUAAUUAAUCAUGCCAGCAGAUGGGCUGUCACGGCCGGAGCGGCCAGGGGACUUACAGGAUUCCUCUGACAGGACUGGGGCAGACAGAAUGCAGAAGCAUGGCGACUCAAGUAGAGAGGCCAAGGAAUGGUCACAGGGUGUCACAGUCAGAAGGGACGUUCGUGUGGGGAGAAGACCUUUGAUCAGCAGCCCCUUCCUUCUCCUGCGGUGGCCUGAACUCGGAGGGUAUAACUGGGAUGGAGCCAGGCCACCGCCUUACGUGUGUGCACACAUGGGAGCAGCCUGGGCCUCCUCGCUGUGGAAUGGCCGGGGUGUCUGCUGUGAUGGGGCACACAUCUCCUUCUUGGUUGAGCAGUAAACAAGGACUGUUCGGUUGGGCCUGUUUCCUUGGAGCAUAUCUUCAUGAAUAUUUGCUGGUGCAGGGAAGUGAUGAAGUACCCAUAGUCCGCACUAUGAAAUCAGAAAGUCUCUGAAGGAAGAAAUUGGCACUCUGCGGCCAUAGUCCUAAGAGAGAAGACAGGAACCAUUUUCCUAUGCCUCCUGUGUGCUGGUCAGAUUAAACGGCACAGAGGGGUGAGCUGCUGAACGCUUGGUUGUAAUUUUGCAAGACUGAUGGCAAUCACUUAUCCUACACCAGCCGUGCCAGGUACUGUUAUAAGCACCUUACGUACUUUAGAUUUCCCAUUUAGGAAAAUGAGGCACAGGGAGACCAAAUCACUUUUCCAUGUUCACACAAGUCGUGAGCGGUGAGAGCCAGAUUUAGAUUUCAGUGGUCUGGCUUCUAAAUCUGUGCUCCUAGCCACUGUGCACGGUCUCCUUGGGAAGACAGCGCAGGGAGGCCCGGGGGACAUCUCCCCAAGUUCUGGCAAAGGAGAAAUGGACCGCCGGAGUUUUAUGGUCAGCCUCCUCAGAAGCACGUCCACAUACUCAAACCGUGUUAUUGGAGAACAGAAUGAAUGCUCAGCAUUUCGAAGGCUCUCAGAACUGAACAGAAGCUCAGGCUGCAGGGCCUGCAGGGGUGGGUGCCUGCAUCUGCCCUGGCCCAGGGCCUUGAGAGAGGAGAACGCCUAUGUGUGUGGCUGGACUGGAGCUGAGAGCUGGGCAAGUGUUGCAAGGCUCCAGGUGAGGAAAGUGGCUUUAGGAAACGUUUACACAGCCUGUCUGUGUGUGCUUUGUCUCAUAGAGACACGAACACAGAGAGAUGUCUCCACAAUUAAAAGCAAUGGCAAACAUGUGAUGAUAAAAGAAAACGCUAGUCUUCUUUAUUGCCAGGGGUCAGUAGGGAGUGGUGAGGAC
rnacentral:lncRNA from 1 species